rnacentral:rRNA from 1 species
GACGAACGCUGGCGGCGUGCUUAACACAUGCAAGUCGAACGGAAAGGCCCUGCUUUUGUGGGGUGCUCGAGUGGCGAACGGGUGAGUAACACGUGAGUAACCUGCCCUUGACUUUGGGGUAACUUCAGGAAACUGGGGCUAAUACCGGAUAGGAGCUCCUGCUGCAUGGGGGGGGUUGGAAAGUUUCGGCGGUUGGGGAUGGACUCGCGGCUUAUCAGCUUGUUGGUGGGGUAGUGGCUUACCAAGGCUUUGACGGGUAGCCGGCCUGGGAGGGUGACCGGCCACAUUGGGACUGAGAUACGGCCCAGACUCCUACGGGAGGCAGCAGUGGGGAAUAUUGCACAAUGGGCGGGAGCCUGAUGCAGCAGCGCCGCGUGCGGGAUGACGGCCUUCGGGUUGUAAACCGCUUUCGCCUGUGACGAAGCGUGAGUGACGGUAAUGGGUAAAGAAGCACCGGCUAACUACGUG